rnacentral:rRNA from 1 species
AACGAACGCUGGCGGCAGGCUUAACACAUGCAAGUCGAACGGGCGUAGCAAUACGUCAGUGGCAGACGGGUGAGUAACACGUGGGAAUAUCCCUUUCAGCUCGGAAUAAUUCAGGGAAACUUGAGCUAAUACCGAAUACGUCCUUCGGGAGAAAGAUUUAUCACUGAGAGAUUAGCCCGCGUCUGAUUAGCUAGUUGGUGAGGUAAUGGCUCACCAAGGCGACGAUCAGUAGCUGGUCUGAGAGGAUGAUCAGCCACACUGGGACUGAGACACGGCCCAGACUCCUACGGGAGGCAGCAGUGGGGAAUAUUGGACAAUGGGGGCAACCCUGAUCCAGUCAUGCCGCGUGAGUGAUGAAGGCCUUAGGGUUGUAAAGCUCUUUUGCUAGGGAAGAUAAUGACUGUACCUAGAGAAUAAGCCCCGGCUAACUUCGUGCCAGCAGCCGCCGUAA